rnacentral:rRNA from 1 species
UACGUAGGGACCAAGCGUUGUUCGGAUUUACUGGGCGUAAAGGGCUCGUAGGCGGCCAACUAAGUCAUACGUGAAAUCCCUCGGCUUAACCGGGGAACUGCGUCUGAUACUGGAUGGCUUGAGUUCGGGAGAGGGAUGCGGAAUUCCAGGUGUAGCGGUGAAAUGCGUAGAUAUCUGGAGGAACACCGGUGGCGAAGGCGGCAUCCUGGACCGAUACUGACGCUGAGGAGCGAAAGCCAGGGGAGCAAACGGG